rnacentral:lncRNA from 1 species
GUCUAAAACGAGUUUACCACUUAUUGGCUACAAGAGCAGGAGCUCAGAAUCUUUGAGAGCCCCACAUCCGUCUGUAUCAAGCUGGAGGAGACGUACUUAGUGCUGGGGCAGCUGUUGUGUGCUCACUAGGAGGCCAUGCUCCAGGGGAGGAGAGACCCCUGUCUGACCUGUAACAAAAAGCACCAGAGGUCUUGGUUCCUGCCCACGCGACCACCUGCUGAGAAACACAGGCAGUUUGGGGAAACUGGGUGGUCUCCUCCCAACAACCACAACCCGCAGACGCCUGGUCUACCAUGGAUCACGCCUGCGGCUCAGGACAAAGGGGCGUUCUCACCAGGCAGGAGUCUUCACGGCCAAGCGAGGCGAGUGGAAGUGUCAGAUCUGCAGGUGCCACGCGCACUGUCCUCAAUACCCCUCCAGCAAGGAGACACAGCCACAGUAGUACAGCCACGACCCUGCUGUUCCUCCAUGGAGGAUCACAGACCCAAUUGGGAGCAGAAAUAUCAGUCACACGAGCAGAUCUCACUCAUCCGGGGAGGUCCUGGACGAUGCCAGAAUCUGGGCUCCAGAUGGGCAGACGCUGGAACCGCUGGAGAGACGCGAUCCCGGCCCCGCCCCUCGGGCGGGCGGCUGAGUGCCCCCUGCACUCCUGGGUCUCUCCUCCGUGCUGGGUUAGCCCCGUGUACCCGGGGAUGGGGAGAGGUGGCCGGGACAAGGAAGAGCCUUUUAGAGAGAGGGAGAGAAGCAGCCCUGCGGUCUGGGGCCUUGAAGUGGUCUUUACUUAACAUGGCCAAGAUUCCUAGGUUCAGGUCAGUGGGAAAUCUAGCCUGGAAUCUGGGAUUUUUUUGUUUGUUUUUCAGAUUCCCCCAAAUAUCUUACGUGGUCAAAACAAGUUGGCUUUUAUGA